GUGGAGAUGUAGGGGGUGGGGCGGGGCCAGGAGAGUGACAGCCGGCGGGCGGGGCUUGCAGACCAUCACUCACCAAGGCUCGGUACUCAGGACCCCGGUGAGCCCGCCAGUCUGGACUGGAGUUAUCAGUGCGGGGAACCAGGGAUGGAGCGUCAGGACUGAGUUCACGGUACUGAUGGAGACGUAGUAGGUCAGGAACAAGCACUCCACCGCUGAGCUACAGGCACUCCAUGCACUGAGCUUCCAGCACUCAUCCCGCCAGCAGAGACCCUGUUUGCUCACGAGAUCCGGGUCCUCCCUCUGGCGUCAGGACCCGGACACAGCGUCUCAGCACCGUACGGGGCACUGGGUAGGGCAGAGCUGCUGACGUCAUGGUGGACGGGAAGUAGAGAGAGAGGAGACUGGGGUCCCAGUGUCGCCUAGGACGUGCCGCUAUGACGUCACUUCGUCCGAGCAGCAGCGCAUCGUGGGAGCACGCAAUGGAGCAGAGAUGCUGACGUCAUGGCGGACAGGAAGCGAGAGAGCGAUCAUAGUACUUGGUGGCAGUGGGGUCGUGUGCACUUCUGUUAACCGCACCACGGGGAGGUGCUUUGUGCUGAAAGCCCAGUUCAUGCACAGCGUCCUGAAGCUCCCGCAGCUGCAGUCCACACGGGCAGCUGGGCUGGCAGGAAACGGAACCGGGACCUUAAAGGAAGAGUGACGUCAGCGCUCGGCGGCAGGUGGCGCCACGGUCCUGAAAAGCGCAGCUCUGUCUGACGGCGUUUUCGGAGGAUCCACCUCCUCCUCCUCCUCCUCCUCCUCCUUCUGUCUUUUUGAGACAGGGUCUCCCUGUAGUCCAAGCUGGCCUGAAACUCACUAUGUAGACCAGGCUGGCCUUCCAAGUGCUGA
rnacentral:lncRNA from 1 species